rnacentral:rRNA from 1 species
ACGAUGAACCAGGAGCUUGCUCUUGGGGAUUAGUGGCGAACGGGUGAGUAACACGUGAGCAACCUGCCCCUGACUCUGGGAUAAGCGCUGGAAACGGCGUCUAAUACUGGAUACGAGACGUGAUCGCAUGGUCAACGUUUGGAAAGAUUUUUUGGUUGGGGAUGGGCUCGCGGCCUAUCAGCUUGUUGGUGAGGUAAUGGCUCACCAAGGCGUCGACGGGUAGCCGGCCUGAGAGGGUGACCGGCCACACUGGGACUGAGACACGGCCCAGACUCCUACGGGAGGCAGCAGUGGGGAAUAUUGCACAAUGGGCGGAAGCCUGAUGCAGCAACGCCGCGUGAGGGAUGACGGCCUUCGGGUUGUAAACCUCUUUUAGCAGGGAAGAAGCGAAAGUGACGGUACCUGCAGAAAAAGCGCCGGCUAACUACGUGCCAGCAGCCGCGGUAAUACGUAGGGCGCAAGCGUUAUCCGGAAUUAUUGGGCGUAAAGAGCUCGUAGGCGGUUUGUCGCGUCUGCUGUGAAAUCCCGAGGCUCAACCUCGGGCCUGCAGUGGGUACGGGCAGACUAGAGUGCGGUAGGGGAGAUUGGAAUUCCUGGUGUAGCGGUGGAAUGCGCAGAUAUCAGGAGGAACACCGAUGGCGAAGGCAGAUCUCUGGGCCGUAACUGACGCUGAGGAGCGAAAGGGUGGGGAGCAAACAGGCUUAGAUACCCUGGUAGUCCACCCCGUAAACGUUGGGAACUAGUUGUGGGGUCCAUUCCACGGAUUCCGUGACGCAGCUAACGCAUUAAGUUCCCCGCCUGGGGAGUACGGCCGCAAGGCUAAAACUCAAAGGAAUUGACGGGGACCCGCACAAGCGGCGGAGCAUGCGGAUUAAUUCGAUGCAACGCGAAGAACCUUACCAAGGCUUGACAUAUACGAGAACGGGCCAGAAAUGGUCAACUCUUUGGACACUCGUAAACAGGUGGUGCAUGGUUGUCGUCAGCUCGUGUCGUGAGAUGUUGGGUUAAGUCCCGCAACGAGCGCAACCCUCGUUCUAUGUUGCCAGCACGUAAUGGUGGGAACUCAUGGGAUACUGCCGGGGUCAACUCGGAGGAAGGUGGGGAUGACGUCAAAUCAUCAUGCCCCUUAUGUCUUGGGCUUCACGCAUGCUACAAUGGCCGGUACAAAGGGCUGCAAUACCGUGAGGUGGAGCGAAUCCCAAAAAGCCGGUCCCAGUUCGGAUUGAGGUCUGCAACUCGACCUCAUGAAGUCGGAGUCGCUAGUAAUCGCAGAUCAGCAACGCUGCGGUGAAUACGUUCCCGGGUCUUGUACACACCGCCCGUCAAGUCAUGAAAGUCGGUAACACCUGAAGCCGGUGGCCU